AGCUUCAGUAGCGUAUAUUAAAGUUGUUGCAGUUAAAAAGCUCGUAGUCGCAUUUCUGGCGAGAGGAUCCGGUCCGACCUUUUGGUGGGUUCUUGGGUCUCUUUUGCCAUCCUUGAGUGGUCCGUUCUGGCAUUAGGUUGUCGGAGCGUCAGCCGCUCAUCGUUUACUGUGAGAAAAUUAGAGUGUUCAAAGCAGGCUUAUGCCGUUGAAUAUAUUAGCAUGGAAUAAUAAGAUAGGACCUCGGUACUAUUUUGUUGGUUUGCGCACCAAGGUAAUGAUGAACAGGGACAGUUGGGGGUAUUUGUUUCUUAGAUUUACGAAAGACAAACUACUGCGAAAGCAUUUACCAAGGAUGUUUUCA
rnacentral:rRNA from 1 species